rnacentral:lncRNA from 1 species
CCUGCCCCCAUUUUGGGUUUCCUGCCCCCAUUUUGGGUUUCCCGGCCCCAUUUUGUGUUUCCCGGCCCCAUUUUGGGUUUCCUGCCCCCAUUUUGGGUUUCCUGGCCCCUUUUUGGUUUUCCCAACCCCGUUUUGGGGUUCCCAACCCCAUUUUGGGUUUCCCGGCCCCGUUUUGGGUUUCCUGCCCCCAUUUUGGGUUUCCCGGCCCCAUUUUGGUUUUCCCAACCCCAUUUUGGGUUUCCUGGCCCCUUUUUGGUUUUCCCAACCCCGUUUUGGGGUUCCCAAACCCGUUUUGGGUUUCCUGCCCCCAUUUUGGGGUUCCCAGCCCCAUUUUGGGUUUCCCGGCCCCGUUUUGGCUUUCCCAACCCCAUUUUGGGUUUCCCGGCCCCAUUUUCGGUUUCCCAACCCCAUUUUGGGGUUCCCAGCCCCAUUUUGGGUUUCCCAACCCCGUUUUGGGUUUCCCCCCCCUGACCCCCGGCUCCCGCAGGGCCGGGCCUGGGCCCCACGAUCCAGCUGGGCGAGCAGACGCUGAUCACGGUGGACGCCAAGGCGGCCGGCAAGGGCAAGGUCACCUGCUCGGUGUGCACGCCCGACGGCUCCGAGGUGGACGUGGACGUGGUGGAGAACCCCGACGGCACCUUCGACAUCUUCUACACCGCGCCGCAGCCCGGCAAAUACGUCAUCUGCGUCAGGUUCGGGGGGGAGCACAUCCCCAACAGCCCCUUCCAGGUCAUGGCCACGGACCGGCCGCUGCUGGGGGUCAACGGGCUGGACAUGGCCGGGCUGCGGCCCUUCGACCUCGUCAUCCCCUUCACCAUCAAGAAGGGCGAGAUCACGGGUGAGGGGGGACACCCCCAAUUCGGGGGGUGGGGGGUCCCCGAAACAGCCCCGAAAUCGGCCCAAAAACACCUCAAAGUCAGCCCAAAAAAUCUCCGCAAACAGCCUCAAAAAUCAGUCCAAAAUCAGCCCAAGACCACCUCAAAAGCAGCCUGAAAAUACCCUCAAAACCGGCUCGGAAAUACCCUCAAAACCCGCUCGAAAAUACCCUCAAAACCAGCCCAAAAACAUCUCGAAACCAGCCUGAAAAUACCCUCAAAGCCAGCCCAAAAACAUCUCAAAACCAGCCUAAAACUAACUAAAAAGCAGCUCAAAAAAGCAGCCAGAAAAUCUCAAAAUCCAGCCCAAAACGAGUCCAAACGGGCCCAAAAAUCAGCCCAAAAUCACCUCAAAAUCAGCCCAAAACCACCUCAAAAUCGGUCCAAAACCACCUCAAAGUCAGCCCAAAAAAUCUCCGAAAACAGCGUCAAAAACCAGCCCAAAACCAGCUCAAAACCAGACUGAAAAAUACCCUCAAAACCAGCCCAAAAACAUCUCAAGACCAGACCAAAACUAACUAAAAAGCAGCUCAAAAAAGCAGUCAGAAAAUCUCAAAAUCC